GAUGAAGAACGCAGCGAAAUGCGAUAAGUAAUGUGAAUUGCAGAAUUCAGUGAAUCAUCGAGUUUUUGAACGCACAUUGCGCCCCCUGGUAUUCCGGGGGGCAUGCCUGUCCGAGCGUCAUUACAACCCUCAAGCUCAGCUUGGUGUUGGGCCCCGCCGCCCCGGCGGGCCCUAAAGUCAGUGGCGGUGCCGUCCGGCUCCGAGCGUAGUAAUUCUUCUCGCUCUGGAGGUCCGGUCGUGUGCUCGCCAGCAACCCCCAAUUUUUUUCAGGUUGACCUCGGAUCAGGUAGGGAUACCCGCUGAACUUAAGCAUAUCAAUAAGCGGAGGA
rnacentral:misc_RNA from 1 species